rnacentral:rRNA from 1 species
CACGGACCAAGGAGUCUAACAUGUGCGCAAGUCAUUGGGCUAUGCUAAACCCAAAGGCGAAAUGAAAGUGAAGGCGCAACCCCCGUAGGGGGCCGCCGAGGGAAGAUGGCCGUCGCUAUCUCGGGCUUCUCGCCCGGGCGUGGCCCGCAUUCCCGGGGCGUCUCGCUCCUCCUCGCGAGGGGAGGCGCACCCAGAGCGCACACGUUGGGACCCGAAAGAUGGUGAACUAUGCCCGGCCAGGACGAAGUCAGGGGAAACCCUGAUGGAGGUCCGUAGCGAUUCUGACGUGCAAAUCGAUCGCAGGAGCUGGGUAUAGGGGCGAAAGACUAAUCGAACCAUCUAGUAGCUGGUUCCCUCCGAAGUUUCCCUCAGGAUAGCUGGUGCUCGGAGGAGUCUCAUACGGUAAAGCGAAUGAUUAGAGGCCUUGGGGCCGAAACGACCUCAACCUAUUCUCAAACUUUAAAUGGGUGAGAACUCAGGCUUGCUCGGAAAUGAAGCCGGAGACGGAUCUUGAGUGCCAAGUGGGCCACUUUUGGUAAGCAGAACUGGCGCUGUGG